rnacentral:rRNA from 1 species
AACGAACGCUGGCGGCAAGCUUAACACAUGCAAGUCGAGCGCCCCGCAAGGGGAGCGGCAGACGGGUGAGUAACGCGUGGGAAUCUACCCAUCUCUACGGAAUAACGCAUGGAAACGUGUGCUAAUACCGUAUACGUCCUUCGGGAGAAAGAUUUAUCGGAGAUGGAUGAGCCCGCGUUGGAUUAGCUAGUUGGUGGGGUAAAGGCCUACCAAGGCGACGAUCCAUAGCUGGUCUGAGAGGAUGAUCAGCCACACUGGGACUGAGACACGGCCCAGAUUCCUACGGGAGGCAGCAGUGGGGAAUAUUGGACAAUGGGCGCAAGCCGGAUCCAGCCAUGCCGCGUGAGUGAUGAAGGCCCUAGGGUUGUAAAGCUCUUUCACCGGUGAAGAUAAUGACGGUAACCGGAGAAGAAGCCCCGGCUAACUUCGUGCCAGCAGCCGCCGUAAUAC